rnacentral:rRNA from 1 species
CAAGCGUUGUCCGGAAUUAUUGGGCGUAAAGCGCGCGCAGGCGGUUUCUUAAGUCCAUCUUAAAAGCGUGGGGCUCAACCCCAUGAGGGGAUGGAAACUGGGAAGCUGGAGUAUCGGAGAGGAAAGUGGAAUUCCUAGUGUAGCGGUGAAAUGCGUAGAGAUUAGGAAGAACACCGGUGGCGAAGGCGACUUUCUAGACGAAAACUGACGCUGAGGGACGAAAGCGUGGGGAGCAAACAGGAUUAGAUACCCUGGUAGUCCACGCCGUAAACGAUGAUCAUUAGUCGGUGGGAGCCACUGACGCAGCUAACGCAUUAAAUGAUCCGCCUGAGUAGUAUGCUCGCAAGAGUGAAACUUAAAGGAAUUGACGGGGACCCGCACAAGCGGUGGAGCAUGUGGUUUAAUUUGAGGAUACGCGGAGAACCUUACCCACUCUUGACAUCCUCUGCAAAGCUAUAGAGAUA